CCAACACUCUAGCCACUGAGUCGAACCGGCCGGGGCAGAUGCAGCUCUCUCCCAUAAAAGGCAGUCGCGAUUAUGAAGUAGGUUUCUUCGGUGCCUUAACGCUGCAGGCACCCUGCUGCCUGCUACCGUGGUGAGGACGCCACAGCUGCGGUGCCAGGACUGGGGACCACAGCUGCGAGCACCCCGCGCCUGACCCUUCCCGUAAAUGUGGUUCCCUACGCGGGGUUUUCUGCUGGGGCUGUGCACACAGCAGAGCAAACCUUCCUCUCCACUGACUGGCGGGCCCCGGCGAUGAGCGUGCUGUCAGUUUCCACAGAAGCCUCUGUGAGGACGGCCCAGCCCUGACACAAUGAACAAUCAGGGCAGAAGCUGUGGCUUCUUUGUUGGUGGAAGUGAAAUCCUGCGUGGGGAGCCGCCUUCCUGCCGCCGGUCCGCUGCUCGGAGCUGAAAGUGGUUUUGUCGCCGGGGAGGUAAAGGAAGGCUGAUUAACUGCAAUUCUCAUGUUUCGCUUUGAACAGGGUCUGCCAAUCCCCCACCGUUCGCCAGCCACCAGUCACUUAAAUACCACCCACCUAAGCACCAAAAAAGCCACCGUCGCAGCAUCCAGAUCCUGUCGGGGUGCGGUGGCUGCCAGGAUCAAUGAGAAGCGCCGAAGGUCGUUGGAUUCCCGCCUGGAGGUCAGGAGCUGUGCACAGUCAUGCGCCUUUUCAAGUCCGAAGAGGCAGCGAGGAGGCUUUUCAGUCCCUCAUCGUUCCCUGCAUCCACUCAGCUGACACCUGUCCAGGGACUUCUUCCUGUCCCGUCACCUGGUGGGGGAUCCGGAGUUGACCUGGUCCAGCAGGGAGGGGGCAAGACUGGGUUCAAGGUUGAAAUUACAUCAUCUCUGAAAACAGCCAGAGCAACAUGGUAGCCCAUCACAGUCCCAGAGCAACAAUGAGUUCCAUUGUAACUAUCAGGAGAACGCCAUAUUCUGAAGAGAUUUAUAUACUAGUAUGUACAGGGGUAAAGUGUCGAGGCAUAAACAGCUAUCAAAUAGUUUGGCAAAGGUACAUGUGUCUGCAUGUGUAUAUAUAGAUGCACACAUAUAAUGUGUAUAUUAUGUAUACAUAUAUUAUGUGUGGAUAUGUAUCUAGAGAGAGAGCAAACAUUGCAAAUUAGUAACAAUUGGUUAGUCUAGGUGAAGAAUACAGGGGUGUCCAUUGUAUUUAUGUUUUACCUUUUCUAUAGUUUUAAAUAUUUUCACAGCGCAAAGUUAGAGGAAAAUUUAUUAUCUCUGAUCUCAAGGAACUUACUAUCUAGAGAUUGAUUUUUUUCCUAGUGUAAAGGAAGAGGGGAGGAUUGGAUUGAAGACACGGGGCCAGAAGUCAUUCCUAGAAUGUGGACACUAUUAGACCAGGAUUCACGGAGUCCGGAGAGCGCUACCCACUGAGCAGUGUGGCAGGCCCGAGGCCCGGGGUGUGGUGGUCACAGCCUUGGACCUGGAAUUGGGGCCGUGGCGUCUGGACCGGCUCCUUCGAGGGAGCAGCCUGUGCCCUCUUUGCACACACGCCUGCCACGCCUCCCUCUGCGCGUCCGGAAAAUGAAGAAAUGGGCUUCUCUGAGGCCCCUUUCUGUGCUGAAAUUCUGUGGUUUUGAUUCGUAAUGAUGACUCAUCGUGAAUCAACAGAGAAAAUGAAAUUAUGUUCUGCAUAUUCUGGCUAAGAAAGCAGGCGAGGCUGCGCUCUCAGCGAGAAGCCACAGCGCCAGCGCCUUGCUCAGUGACGGUGACGUGCUGAGUCCCUCGCUCUGGCCGGAGGGGUAGAGUCACGGCCCCGACCAGGAGCGGAUGGAGCCUACAACCAAGGGUCCUGACCCAUGUCUGCUUUUCUCCAAAACCCAAACUCUGUCCAUGUCGGCCCUCUCAAAAUGUAGAAGAAAACACAAAGUAAAAAAUGGAGCCCCUUUAAAAUGGAGUCAGCGCUGCCAUCGGGGCUGCCCUGCGCGUCCUAUGCCUCAAGCCUCUGGAAUGCUCCAAGGGGACAAAAUAGCCUGUGGACGGGCCCAGAGCAACACUGUGUCCCCACAGCUGUUUGCAGAGAUAACAAGAAAGCAGCUAUUCUAACCUCCAGGCGGAGAAUUAGAAACAUUGUUUAGAAUUCUCGUCACUGUGUCUCCUUAUCUGCACCAAUGGCAGCUCUUCCUUCUCCGGAGGUCUCUGCCCCUCCUCUCUCAUACCCCCACC